UUGGCACUGUAGAGAAGAAGUGCCACCGGACUGUUUGGUAGUCCACGUGAACAGCGCCACUUCUGGGGUAUUAGCUGCUGCAAUUGAUUUCCCUGGAUUCAGCCGGUGACAAUUGUACAGCCUCAGUACGUGUACGGGCACUCAGUCACACACACACCUAGCACUACAAUUGCACACGUACUACUGUUCAUUGACACAACAAAUGGAA
rnacentral:lncRNA from 1 species